rnacentral:lncRNA from 1 species
CUCUAACGCUUUAGCGUAAGGCCGUGCCCCGAGCAUGCAGCUAAAGCAUACAUUUAGCGUAAGGCCGUGCCUCGUGCAUACAACUAAAUCAUCUCUAAAACUUUAGCAUAAGGCCGUACCCCGUGCAUGCAGCUAAAUCAUCUUACAUUCCUAAGUUUUGACCCGCGCAGGCACUUUUAAGCCUUGUCCUGUACAAGCACCCUAAGUAUUGCCUUAUGCAUACAACUCAAAAUUUCAGCCCCAAGUAAAAAUUCCAACCACAUUUUUCCAUCCUGAGCUUGUUAGGCAUAAUUCAUUCUUAAUGUGCUCAGGCCCUAUCCUUGAGCUCAAUGCAUUGUCAAAAUCCUAGCCAAAGAGCUUGGAAUGAUUAUAUUCAUAAUAGGAGCGAGCUUGCACUCGAGCUUAGUCUCUUAUACAAAUCUUUGCCUAUUCGCUCGAGCUCUUUCAUUUCAAAAUUUUUAAUAAAGCUCAAGCUCGUUCUUUUCAAACUUUAAACAAAGUAUGGGUCUAGCCCCUUACUAUCAAAAUUUUUAAUAAAGUUCGAGGUCGAUCUCCUUCAUUUCAAAUUUUUGGCAGAGCUCGAGGUCAAACUCCUAUCUUUUAAAUUUUUUAACAACGUCGGGUCGAUCCACUUCCUUUCAAAAUUGUUAACAAGAUUAGGGUCAAGCCAAUUCCUUUCAAAUUUUAAAUAAGGUAGGGGUCUAGCACUUCCUUCCAAAACUUUUGACAAGCCUCAAGAUCUAGCUUAUUCCUCUCAAAUUUUUAAAGUAGUCAAAA